GAAUUACCCUUGGGAGAUUGAUUCAGCAAUGCAGAAACUGGUUCAAUACCUAGUAGGUCAGCUCCAGGAAGUUUUCCACUUGCAGGAACCUUCGACUCCAAAGAAAACAAGGCAUUAUGGGAACUCGGUUUGCAUAUAGCCCGGCCUUACUCCUUUUAAAAAUCUGCAAGGGUGGAGCCUAACCCUAAUCUGCAACAGUGAGCUGACAGUUGCAUACCCUGUCUAGUAUACAGUAAGAACCUAUUUCCUUAUGAUGAAUUCGGAUGUAACGUGCCGCUGGAAACAAAAAAUGAAAGGAACAUAGUCCUAAAUCAGAGAGGAAGAACAAUGAGGGCAGAGAUCAAAGUUGCUGCCUCCAGAGAGCAAAUGAUAGCAGCCUCUAAAAUGUGGAACAAAUAAGCAGAUUCUUCCCCGAAGCUUUCAUAUGGAACCAGUCCUGCUAGCACUUUGGAUUUAGAAUUUAAGUUAUUCUCGAAAAAGUAUGGAAGAAGUUAUAUUGCAGGUAAGUAUACUUUCUUGCACCAUAUGCUAUCAGAAUACACUGCUAUCCCCACAUUGUUUGGAGGUUACAUUUUAGCAUCCACUUUCUUCCCUGAGUCCUUGAUGGGUUUAGCUCCUGGCUGAUAUUUACUUCCAACAAUGCUCCUCUUCUCUCACUCCUCAUUGGCUUCAAAGAUUACAGAAACUUUUUUCCACAUGCUUGGCUUCACCGUUCCUUAAAUUAUCUUUGCCUAUGAUCUUGUCCUCCACUCUACUAUGCCACCAAGGCUCAUGAGAAUAUCCUAGAACUGUCAUUAUAACUGUGUCCUCUCCAUGAGCUUAACUAUCCCUCUUAACCACAAGUCCUACCCUUCUGGUUCACUCCCAGUGUCCUGAUUCUCAAAAUCUCCAUUUCACAGUGUCUGCAAACCCAUAGACCUGCCACAACUGGUCUCUUGCUAGAUUAAGUUUGUGCUCCAUCCUUACAGUCACCAUUUUAUAUACACCUUCACUUACAGUACUUAUUGGACAGAACAACAAAAAUUUCAAUUCUCUAUUAUUUUGCCUCCAUUGCUCUAACGCUGAGUGUGGCUAGUGAAAAACGAAGAAUUAGUGACAACUGGUCUUACUGUAAGGGACUGUACUGACUGGUUUUGUGUGUCAACUUGACACAGGCUGGAGUUAUCACAGAGAAAGGAGCUUCAGUUGGGGAAGUGCCUCCAUGAGAUCCAGCUGUGAGGCAUUUUCUCAAUUAGUGAUCAAGGGGGAAGGCCCCUUGAGGGUGGGACCAUCUCUGGACUCAUAGUCUUGGGUUCUAUAAGAGAGCAGGCUGAGCAAGCCAGGGGAAGCAAGCCAGUAAGUAACAUCCCUCCAUGGCCUCUGCAUCAGCUCCUGCUUCCUGACCUGCUUGAGUUCCAGUCCUGACAACCUUUAGUGAUUAACAGCAAUGUGGAAAGUGUAAGCUGAAUAAACCCUUUCAUCCUGAACUUACUUAUUGGUCAUGAUGUUUGUGCAGGAAUAGAAACCCUGACUAAGACAGGGUCCCUGAUUCUCUGAAGAAUGAUACUGCAGUCUCAAAUAAUAUGUAAACGCAAAGAGUGUUUUAUUUUGCAGAAGUUCAGCAUGCUGGGGUCUACCAUCUACAAAGAUAGAGCGAUCCCAAAGUGAGCUCCCAGGCCUGUUUUAAAGCACAUUAGGGGAAUUCCAGGGAGGGUUAGGUGACCUCUAUCUUAAUCUUGGCUAUCUCUAAUGAUACUCCAUUGCUGGGACCUGGAGGGGCUAGAAGCUGUUGCUGGAGAAGUCUGGAAACUUGCUGAGGAAGUCUGGAAACUGCUGCUGACCCAUUGUCCUUGCUUCAGGCCAGGUGGCAGGGCAGCUUCUGAGGCCUAGACUUGCCUGGAUUUGCCCAGUUCUUGGAAACAGAGAUUUAGGCCUCGUCCCCUGAACUGCCAAUCUGAAGCUUAUCAUGGAGUCAGCCUAGCCUUCCCAUUACUUUAAUGACAAUUUAUUUCAUUUCGAUCCUUGUGCUAGGAUAACAACGUAUUAAGGGAUAAUCCUUCUGGUCAAAAAAUUAAAAUACCUGGCCUGUAUAGAUGACUAAUAUUCCAGUUGGACAAGAUCAAUCACCUGGCCAAAAGACCGCCUCUAGAAAGGUAGGCUCACAUAAAGCCGUGCUAAAGAGAUAGUUAGAAAAAUUAUCACUUAAAUGAGAUACUUUGCUUUUUUUGCCUUCCCGAAAUUUCUACACCCCCCCCCCCGCCGCCCCAUGCUCCAUUAUAAUCUUUUACAGAGUAUAGCUAUUGUUGAUUUGUAAGUCACCAACUUUUUUGAAGCACACAGAAAAGAAUGACUUCAUUUUCUUUCUUUUUCUUUUCUUUCUUUGGUUUUGUUGUUGUUAUUGUUUGUUUGUUUCUACAUUUUUAUUUACUUGCUUUUAUGUGUAUGGAUGUUUUUUGCCUGAAUACAUGUUUGUCUGUGCACUGCCUAUGUUCAGUACAUACAGGGACCAGAAGAGAGAUUCAGAUCUCUUCAGUUUGGGAGUUACAUUAUGUGGAGUGUUAGCAUUAUGUGGAGUUGGAAUUGAAGCCUAGUGUUCUGGAAUAGCAACCAGUACUCCUACCCAGUAAGCCAUCCCUCCAGUCCUUCUUUCUACCUCUCUUCUAAGCAUACUUUCCCUAACACUUUAGGUUUCCCAAAUACUUUGUGUUUCACUCUUUUUCUACAGACAUCCUCUCUACCGUGUGAUUGCCUGCCACAAUAUGGCUGACCUCCAUGAUGGUAUAACUCAACUGGCAUGAAUUGUUUUCUUCUCUAUUUCCCUCUUCUGGGUAACUGCUGAGGUCUACAACUUACAGAGUCUGGGGAACAGUUUCUGUGAAAGUUUAGUAAAAUUGUCCUUGAGCUCCUGUUUGAUUCCAUUCUUGGUUUAUUUUAUUAAUGAGAUUAAGAACUCCAAGAGGGAACCCAGAUUUCCCUAGUAUCUGAUCACAAGGGGAGUUUCCUAAGUUUUAGCAACCUAUGUAAUUCUGCUUGAUGUCCCCACUGUUCUUUAAUCAAUUAAAUAUUUCAUUAUAAAUGACUUCCAUGUGAAUUGUAGUGUGUUUGCCUGCAGCCUUGUCCUCUACCCACUGGGUACCAGGUGUAUUUCCCUCCUCUAGUUUUAACUACCACAAUGACUCUAGACAAAACCAUCCCGUCUAAGAAACACUGAGGUAGAUUAUUCCUAUCCAAAGCUCCAAAACUAGUCAGACACUGCAGGUUUUACUGUCUUCUCAUUUCCUUUACUAUUUCCAAUGGUUUGUUUGCAUGCUUUUGUCCUAAGGUGAUAAAGCACAUCUAUUAAAUGGCCUGUUUGAAGGAAUUGUUGACCACAGAAGCAAUAUGUACUAGAAUGUGUGGCAAGUGAACUAUGCCACCAGACAGAAGAACUGUUAAGGUUGAGUAGGCUCAAACCCCAGGGAAUCUUAAAAUUUAGAAUGGUAUGUGUGGAGCCCACUCCCUGGAAAAUUACCUGAUCCGGAACACGUAACCAUGUCACCUGCCCUGAGAGGACCAUGACAAUGGGUCACAUAACAUUAAAACCUGGAGUUCUCCAUGCUAAUGCAGUUUCUAGAUAGGCUCCCAAAUGUUUAGCCAAAUGAGCAUACCUUCCUGGGCUUUCCUUUCCAAAAAAGGUAUUUAAUGCCUGAUUUACCCUGGGUAAGGUGUAUGCAUUCACCGCUGCCAUCAAAUAAAAACAGUUUGGACAAGCAAGGACUGUCUCCUUCAUGAAGGACCUCCUCAGGGAAGGCCUUCAGCAUAAAUAUCCUAAAUCUUUUAGAGAAGGGCUUUUUCCUUCCAAGCUGUCCUUACUAUUGGCAGUCACUUGGAAUUUUGCUUCCAUCAAGGUCUCAGCCUUCCUCCUUCCUGCCUGGAGAGGGAAAGCUCAAACCCGCAGAGCCCUGUUCCCAAAUCCCAGCAGUGCUGGCAGCACCUGGGUACACAGGUGACUAGGAACCACAGCAUCUCCAUCUCAGACUCCUCUGUUUCUCACCCAGGGAAACAUGGACGGAGACCCCCUAUGAUGGACUGUGUUCUGCCUCCCCUGAUCAGCGUACCGGGCACCCCAGCAGUUAAGCAGAAAUGUAGCUGGCAUUGGAAUACAAAAGUUAUAGGUUUCACAUUGUCAGCAAAUAUUUUCAUCAGUGUUUAGAGAGUGUUUUCUAGAGGGUGAAGCCAGAAAGAGAAGAGACUAGGAGAUAGGACAGAUUCCUUGGGAUGUAAUAUUAGUCUUCAGUUCCUGUAGAGGUUAUUUUCUUUUUAAUUAUUUUCUGUGUCUGGAUGUGCCUUAAUUUGGUUUUCUAUUGCUAUGAAGAGACACUCUGACCAUGGCAACUCUUAUAAAGAAAAACUUUUAAUUGUGGCAGGCUUACAGUUCAGAGUUCUAGUCCAUUAUUGUCAUGGGAAGAAAGUUGGCAGCAUGCAGUCAGACAUAGUGCUAGAGAGGUAGCUGAGAGUUCUACAUAUUGAUCCUCAGGCAGCAAAAAAGUAAAUGAAACACACUUCCUUCAACAAGGCCAUAUUUACUCCAACAAGGGCAAGCUUCCUAAUAGUCCAACUCCCAAUAGGCCUAUAGGGGCCAUUUUGUUCAAACUACCACAUUCUACUUCCUGGACCCAAUAGGAUUUAGCCAUAUCAUAAUGCAAAAUGCAUUGACUCCAAUCUCAGAAGUCCCCAUAGUCUAUAACAAUCUCAAACUUGUUUGAAAGUCCAAAGUUCAAAGCUUCUUCUGAGACUCAUCCAUUCUUUUAACUUUAAUUCCUGUAAAAUCAAAAUCAAAAAGCAGAUCACAUACUUCCAACAUAUAAGGAUAUCCAGCUUUGACACAUCAGAGUCUGAAGUAGGGGGCAUGGAGUCAGCAGAACACACAGAUACAGAAUCUUCUUAAUUAUUAUACAAGUUCUCUUAACUUUAUUUUCCCCCAUAGCUUAUGUGACUCACCAAAAUCUCUCAAGCAGGAUAAAAAUUACAAUGUGACAACAUUCCAUUUUUCUUUAAGUGAAAAAUUACAGUGAGUAUACAUAGAAAAAGAAAAGAAAAAAAGUGUCCCCCUAUAUCAUCUCAUGAUCAAAUGCUUUAUGUAUCAUGUAUUAAAAAAUAUUUUCAAAAACCCACAUGCAUUUGUAAGCAAGCACUUGUUAUAUAUUAACAAAGUAUAAGCAAGCAGGCUAAUUUUCUCAGCCAGUUUCUUUUACUGGCAGGCAGAAAUUUGCAGUUGCAAAGAAAGAAUAAUUUUAUCUUAAAAAGUAAUCUUAUAAAAAUCUUAAAGGAAUCACAAAUCUAAAUUUUUAUAGAAAAAAUCAGUCACUUCUACUUUAAAUCCUUAGGGUGCACAUCUACUCAUUAACAAUUUUUUAUUUAAUCAAUACCAGGAAGCUGAGGGCAAAAAUGAGUACAUGAAAUUAAUCAUCACCUUGAUCAUUAGCCCAGCUUUAGCAAGAGAGGCAUGUCAGCCAAUGUUGGGCUUCCAUUGUUCUUAUCCCCUGACCUCAAAAUUUUCCUAGCCCAACUAUUAAGAAUGUUCCUUUCUGGACUUCAGAUUGUUCUCUAAAAUUUUCUAUAUCAAAUAUACUAGCAAAAACAUCUUAACCUAACUUUCCUAACAAUCCAUAUCUCCAAAUUCUUUCUAAGGGUGGUGAAUGUUACUAGACAUGUAUAACUCUAAGUCUUACUGAGGUUUAUAAAUGAAUCAUUCAUCUGCACCAGCAGCAAAGCUUGAAAAAGAUCAAUCACUAUUAUUGCUAAGUGUCAAAGAUACUGCCCAGUCAGGGGCUGGGAGACCCCUUAGAGUUUUCAUACAACUCAUAGUUUAGGAGCAGCAUGAUGUUUGAGAGAACUAUAGAGCGAUUUCCAUAACAGCAUCAAGUCCUCAAGACAUCUAGUCCUUGGAGCUCUGCCUCUCUGAGGCACACCCAUCAUGAUUGUGCCACAUCCCAUGAGUUCUGUUUGUUGUUCUUCUCUGUGGGCCUCAAUAUAAUGUCAUAGGAUAUACAUUAUAAAUAUAAAGGGGAGCAUCGAAGAAAUUCUGAAUCAAAAACUAUCUGGGCAAACUCUGUAUCUCCAUGUCUGAAGUUAAAAUAUUCUUCAGACCUCCAACUCCUUUCAUCUUUGUUGACUGCAAUAUGCCUCUUUCUCAUGGACUGAUUCCAUUCUCUGUUAGCAGCUCUCCUUUGAAGGUAUCCCACAGCUCUGGUAUCUCCAACAUUUUGGGGUCUUCAAGGCAAUCCAGGCUUCACCUUCAUAGCUUCACACAAUGACCUCUCUAGGUCUCCAUGCAGGGACACUCCUGACACAUGUCUGGCCUCUUUAGCUUUUCCUAGCCACAACAGAAGAGUCCAUGACCCCUUUCUUGUAUCCUUGACUUUACAGCCAGAACCACAUAGCCAAAGCCACCAUGAUAUGUUGUUGGCUGGGGCCCUCAUUCAAAUAAUUUUUCACUAUCUUUCUGUUUUAGAAACUUUCUUCAUUGCAUAAGCAUGGCUGUCCUGCAACUUGCUUUGCAGACCAGGCUAACCUUAAACUCUGGGAUUAAAAGUGUACACUACCAUGCUUUGCCCUAAACGUUUCUUUAAUUCCCUUUCACUUUUCUUUAAUUCUUUUUUACAAACAGGAAGCUUAGUUAGGUAGGGUCUUGCUUUCCUUUAAACUGUUGACACUUUCCGUGUUCCUUUUCUCCUCAAAUGUUACAUUUUGUAUUUUUCCUUGCUCAGCUUGCUCCUAUUAGUUAUAGGUCUGCAUAAAAGUGACCACUAGUAACUGCACAACAGAGUCAAUCUAGACUGUUCUGAGAUCUCCUUUGCCAACAUAAAAUUUAUCCAAACUCUUCCAUUUAGCCAUGGGCAAUUUUUUUUUUUUUUUUUUU